UCUCUACUCUAUAUACUCUAUAUAUUGAGUAGCAGGCAGCCACAUGAUUUGCUGUUCAAAGGAGCAGGCUAUUUGCGUUAACACGCAGGUGUACCUAAUAAAGUGGCCGGUGAGUGUAUGUAGGCAGGCCCUUAUAAUUGCUUUUCCAAUAAUGCCAACUCGUUACUGAUUAUUGAUUUCACAUUGUAGUAUGAGUAUAUAGUGAAAUGAGCGGUAACCACCUACAACAACAUAUUGAUAACAUGGAGCUGUAUAGUGAACUGAGUGGUAUCCACCUACAACAACAUAGCGAUAACAUGGAGCUGUAUAGUGAACUGAGUGGUAUCCACCUACAACAACAUAGCGAUAACAUGGAGCUGUAUAGUGAACUGAGUGGUAUCCACCUACAACAACAUAGCGAUAACAUGGAGCCGGCAGGUGAUUCACACCACAAUAGAGGUCAAGCAGUGGGAGGAGGAAAACGAGGUGGUCAAAGGAAUGGCAGGGGACAAGCACCUCUUCUGAGAGGUGGUCGUGGGCCUCGUUUGAGAUGUGUGGGGGAACGUGGUAGAGGACGAGCACCCCUUCUGAGAGGUGGUCGUGGGCCUCGUUUGAGAUGUGUGGGGAACGUGGUAGAGGACGAGCACCCCUUCUGAGAGGUGGUCGUGGGCCUCGUUUGAGAUGUGUGGGGGAACGUGGUAGAGGACGAGCAC